GGACUACUAGGGUUUCUAAUCCUGUUUGCUACCCACGCUUUCGUGUCUCAGCGUCAGUUACGGUCCAGUGAGCCGUCUACACCGCCGGUGUUCCUCCUGAUAUCUACGCAUUUCACCGCUACACCAGGAAUUCCACUCACCUCUCCCGCACUCUAGUCAUUCAGUAUUCGGCGCACCCUCCCAGUUAAGCCGGGAGAUUUCACACCAAACUUAAACAACCGCCUACACACCCUUUACGCCCAGUAACUCCGAACAACGCUCGCUGCCUACGUAUUACCGCGGCGGCUGGCAC
rnacentral:rRNA from 1 species